rnacentral:rRNA from 1 species
GACGAACGCUGGCGGCGUGCCUAAUACAUGCAAGUAGGACGCACAGUUUAUACCGUAGCUUGCUACACCAUAGACUGUGAGUUGCGAACGGGUGAGUAACGCGUAGGUAACCUGCCUAUUAGAGGGGGAUAACUAUUGGAAACGAUAGCUAAUACCGCAUAACAGUAUGUAACACAUGUUAGAUGCUUGAAAGAUGCAAUUGCAUCGCUAGUAGAUGGACCUGCGUUGUAUUAGCUAGUAGGUAGGGUAAUGGCCUACCUAGGCAACGAUACAUAGCCGACCUGAGAGGGUGAUCGGCCACACUGGGACUGAGACACGGCCCAGACUCCUACGGGAGGCAGCAGUAGGGAAUCUUCGGCAAUGGGGGGAACCCUGACCUGAGCAACGCCGCGUGAGUGAAGAAGGUUUUCGGAUCGUAAAGCUCUGUUGUUAAGGAAGAACGAGUGUGAGAAUGGAAAGUUCAUAC